GUUAAGCGACUAAGCGUACACGGUGGAUGCCCUGGCAGUCAGAGGCGAUGAAGGACGUGCUAAUCUGCGAUAAGCGUCGGUAAGGUGAUAUGAACCGUUAUAACCGGCGAUUUCCGAAUGGGGAAACCCAGUGUGUUUCGACACACUAUCAUUAACUGAAUCCAUAGGUUAAUGAGGCGAACCGGGGGAACUGAAACAUCUAAGUACCCCGAGGAAAAGAAAUCAACCGAGAUUCCCCCAGUAGCGGCGAGCGAACGGGGAGCAGCCCAGAGCCUGAAUCAGUGUGUGUGUUAGUGGAAGCGUCUGGAAAGGCGCGCGAUACAGGGUGACAGCCCCGUACACAAAAAUGCACAUGCUGUGAGCUCGAUGAGUAGGGCGGGACACGUGGUAUCCUGUCUGAAUAUGGGGGGACCAUCCUCCAAGGCUAAAUACUCCUGACUGACCGAUAGUGAACCAGUACCGUGAGGGAAAGGCGAAAAGAACCCCGGCGAGGGGAGUGAAAAAGAACCUGAAACCGUGUACGUACAAGCAGUGGGAGCACAGAGCAAUCUGUGUGACUGCGUACCUUUUGUAUAAUGGGUCAGCGACUUAUAUUCUGUAGCAAGGUUAACCGAAUAGGGGAGCCGAAGGGAAACCGAGUCUUAACUGGGCGUUAAGUUGCAGGGUAUAGACCCGAAACCCGGUGAUCUAGCCAUGGGCAGGUUGAAGGUUGGGUAACACUAACUGGAGGACCGAACCGACUAAUGUUGAAAAAUUAGCGGAUGACUUGUGGCUGGGGGUGAAAGGCCAAUCAAACCGGGAGAUAGCUGGUUCUCCCCGAAAGCUAUUUAGGUAGCGCCUCGUGAAUUCAUCUCCGGGGGUAGAGCACUGUUUCGGCAAGGGGGUCAUCCCGACUUACCAACCCGAUGCAAACUGCGAAUACCGGAGAAUGUUAUCACGGGAGACACACGGCGGGUGCUAACGUCCGUCGUGAAGAGGGAAACAACCCAGACCGCCAGCUAAGGUCCCAAAGUCAUGGUUAAGUGGGAAACGAUGUGGGAAGGCCCAGACAGCCAGGAUGUUGGCUUAGAAGCAGCCAUCAUUUAAAGAAAGCGUAAUAGCUCACUGGUCGAGUCGGCCUGCGCGGAAGAUGUAACGGGGCUAAACCAUGCACCGAAGCUGCGGCAGCGACGCUUAUGCGUUGUUGGGUAGGGGAGCGUUCUGUAAGCCUGCGAAGGUGUGCUGUGAGGCAUGCUGGAGGUAUCAGAAGUGCGAAUGCUGACAUAAGUAACGAUAAAGCGGGUGAAAAGCCCGCUCGCCGGAAGACCAAGGGUUCCUGUCCAACGUUAAUCGGGGCAGGGUGAGUCGACCCCUAAGGCGAGGCCGAAAGGCGUAGUCGAUGGGAAACAGGUUAAUAUUCCUGUACUUGGUGUUACUGCGAAGGGGGGACGGAGAAGGCUAUGUUGGCCGGGCGACGGUUGUCCCGGUUUAAGCGUGUAGGCUGGUUUUCCAGGCAAAUCCGGAAAACUAAGGCUGAGGCGUGAUGACGAGGCACUACGGUGCUGAAGCAACAAAUGCCCUGCUUCCAGGAAAAGCCUCUAAGCAUCAGGUAACAUCAAAUCGUACCCCAAACCGACACAGGUGGUCAGGUAGAGAAUACCAAGGCGCUUGAGAGAACUCGGGUGAAGGAACUAGGCAAAAUGGUGCCGUAACUUCGGGAGAAGGCACGCUGAUAUGUAGGUGAAGUCCCUCGCGGAUGGAGCUGAAAUCAGUCGAAGAUACCAGCUGGCUGCAACUGUUUAUUAAAAACACAGCACUGUGCAAACACGAAAGUGGACGUAUACGGUGUGACGCCUGCCCGGUGCCGGAAGGUUAAUUGAUGGGGUUAGCGGUAACGCGAAGCUCUUGAUCGAAGCCCCGGUAAACGGCGGCCGUAACUAUAACGGUCCUAAGGUAGCGAAAUUCCUUGUCGGGUAAGUUCCGACCUGCACGAAUGGCGUAAUGAUGGCCAGGCUGUCUCCACCCGAGACUCAGUGAAAUUGAACUCGCUGUGAAGAUGCAGUGUACCCGCGGCAAGACGGAAAGACCCCGUGAACCUUUACUAUAGCUUGACACUGAACAUUGAGCCUUGAUGUGUAGGAUAGGUGGGAGGCUUAGAAGUGUGGACGCCAGUCUGCAUGGAGCCGACCUUGAAAUACCACCCUUUAAUGUUUGAUGUUCUAACGUUGACCCGUAAUCCGGGUUGCGGACAGUGUCUGGUGGGUAGUUUGACUGGGGCGGUCUCCUCCUAAAGAGUAACGGAGGAGCACGAAGGUUGGCUAAUCCUGGUCGGACAUCAGGAGGUUAGUGCAAUGGCAUAAGCCAGCUUGACUGCGAGCGUGACGGCGCGAGCAGGUGCGAAAGCAGGUCAUAGUGAUCCGGUGGUUCUGAAUGGAAGGGCCAUCGCUCAACGGAUAAAAGGUACUCCGGGGAUAACAGGCUGAUACCGCCCAAGAGUUCAUAUCGACGGCGGUGUUUGGCACCUCGAUGUCGGCUCAUCACAUCCUGGGGCUGAAGUAGGUCCCAAGGGUAUGGCUGUUCGCCAUUUAAAGUGGUACGCGAGCUGGGUUUAGAACGUCGUGAGACAGUUCGGUCCCUAUCUGCCGUGGGCGCUGGAGAACUGAGGGGGGCUGCUCCUAGUACGAGAGGACCGGAGUGGACGCAUCACUGGUGUUCGGGUUGUCAUGCCAAUGGCACUGCCCGGUAGCUAAAUGCGGAAGAGAUAAGUGCUGAAAGCAUCUAAGCACGAAACUUGCCCCGAGAUGAGUUCUCCCUGACUCCUUGAGAGUCCUGAAGGAACGUUGAAGACGACGACGUUGAUAGGCCGGGUGUGUAAGCGCAGCGAUGCGUUGAGCUAACCGGUACUAAUGAACCGUGAGG
rnacentral:rRNA from 1 species